CUCUGUUGAAAGUUUCAUUUACAGGUACACAGAUAUUCUCAAUUGAUCGCGGUAGUGGGGAGCUAUUUAUUGGUACCGGAGAAAAAUCUGCUGAUCUACGACUUCUUUUGGUUGCGGACAUUGAAUUUUCCAAGUUUUCAUCAGGCAACUAACAUUAAGGAUUGUGGAUACCAUAUUCUACCAAGAAAUGCUAAUAUCUUUGCUCCAUUAAGGGUUCAAGAAUCCACAAGAAGGGCAAUGGUUUUCCUUGGAUAUUGACUACUAUCACCAUCUUCCCUCGAGACAAUCUGGAACCGCGGGACUCUCACGGAAUGUGAGUGAGAGACCAUCAGCUGGCAGCCUGGGCAUAACGACAUGCCAAGCUGGAUUGAUAAGAAGCUGUGAAGCCUCAAAUGCAUUAGAGACACUCUUUAACCCUGCAAACGAUAUAACCGCUAGAUCUGAUUUUGGCAAACCUAAGGACGCAGACGACAAUGAUACCAUUAGCUACAUUGCAGGCUUGGUAAAUGCCGGUCAGCGUAGGAACCCCACAAGUUUCAUCAGCCAAGAUCAGCUCCAGGGUUUCCGCAGUGCUGCUUGUGUAUUGACGCCACGAGUGAAGGACUUUGACUUGCACUCGCCAUGCGGUCUUAUACGGGCGGACGUCUCUCAAAAAAGCGAAUGUUGCUGCCAUUUCUCUCAAUGUUUUUAGCUAUGCGGAUGUAGGUAUGAAGAAGUGUGUGUUGUGUUUCUCUUUAGAAAUUGAUAUUUAUAGUUGGAGAAAUGGUUGCUCAGCAAGGAGUUAUACGAUCCUUAAGCAAUAAUUUAUGUAUUCCUAUUUGAGUUGUGAGAAUAUUGCAGAACAAUAUUUAGUUUCUAAAGAAGAUAUGUACACAAAUAAAUGAAUUGCUUGCGUACAAAGUUAUAUAUUUGCUAACAUUGUGAUUUCCUUAAC